UCCCCCUCUCUCCUCGCCUUCCUCUCCUCGCAUAUUGUUCGACCCCCGCUCUCGUCCAAUACAAGUCCCUUUCAUACUAAGUGACACCUUCUGAAUAUCGGAGUUUUUUCGAGAAGGAGGUUGAAACCCCGGCCUUUGCAUCAUUCUGAACAUUGGAGUUAAACGGAGCUGGCUUUGUAUGGCUUUUCCUAUGUGCCAAUCCAGUCUUGUGAUAUAGAUGUGUCAUCUCUCUCAGCAUGACAAGUUCACAGGUAUUCUGCUUUUGAUGAACUUCCUCCACACCUGCAGUGACAAGAAAACGCUGAAGAAGUGGUUCUUCAUCGACAAGACAGUGGGCUAAGAAAAUCCUGCUGAAAGAGAGACGACCACCGUACUGACCACACUUUUUCUUCGUCCGACCCGAUGGAUUUGAGCAACGGCUCACCGGUCAUCAGUGAUCCGAUGUCAAUGAGCCAGUCGUUGAUGGGAGUGCUGCCUUCCAACAUGAUGCCGUUUUCAGUCAGGCCCGGAGGUUACUCCGGCGCUGGUGGCGCCGGCGUAAACGUCAGUAGGCGCAAGAUCGAGGAGGUCCUCGUGAGCGGGCUGCUGGAUGCUAUGAAAUCCUCGUCGCCACGUAAGAAGCACAACGUGGUCUUCGGCGAGGAAAACUUGCCUGAAGAAGAUCCUGCCUACAGUACAUGGAUGGCAAAAUGCCCUUCUGCUCUGGCUUCCUUCAAGCAGAUCGUAGCCAGUGCACAAGGCAAGAAGAUUGCGGUCUUCUUGGACUACGAUGGCACCCUGUCUCCGAUCGUCGACGACCCUGAAAAAGCCGUCAUGUCCCCUGUGAUGAGAGCUGCCGUGAGAAACGUCGCCAAGUACUUCCCUGCUGCCAUCGUCAGCGGAAGGUCCCGGAAGAAGGUUCUUGAAUUCGUAAAACUGAAGGAACUCUGCUAUGCUGGUAGUCAUGGGAUGGACAUAAUGACAUCUUCUUCAGCACAUUAUGAACGCAAUGCUGAAAAGGGCAAAGAAGCCAACCUCUUCCAACCUGCUCGCGAUUUUCUGCCUAUGAUCGAUGAGGUUUCCAAGGUCCUCUUGGAAGUCACGAGCCGAAUCGAAGGCGCAAGCGUUGAGGACAACAAGUUCUGCGUGUCUGUACAUUACCGCAACGUGGACGAGAAGGACUGGGAGCUGGUCGCACGGCUCGUAAACGAAGUGCUGGAGGACUUCCCCCGUCUCAAAGUGACCAACGGACGAAUGGUUUUAGAGGUUCGUCCAGUGAUCGACUGGGACAAGGGGAAGGCCGUCGAGUUCCUGCUUCAGUCGCUCGGGCUGAGCGACUCCGAGAAAGUGAUCCCUAUCUACAUCGGCGACGACCGCACCGACGAAGACGCGUUCAAGGUGCUUCGGGAGAGGAACUGCGGAUACGGGAUACUGGUCUCGCAGGCGCCCAAGGAAACCGAGGCCUUCUACUCGCUCAGGGACCCGUCUGAAGUGAUGGAGUUCCUGAACUCCUUGGUGAGAUGGAAGAAGCACUCGCUAUGAACAAACAGGAGAUGACUGUAGUUUCCGAGGCGACAGUUUUGCAGCGUUGGAAACCAUAGCUAGGGUCGAAUGAUGUUGCCGUCCCCUGUUAAUUCGUUUAGGCCCUAGUCGAUGCAGCACACGGGAAUAGUUGGCGAAGCGGAACAGCACCGAGUGAAUAGCCCAUGGCCGAAAGCGUGAACGUAGCCAGCAAUAGGUAGAAGACGCCCAGAAGGCUACCGGCACUAGAGAUGGCCGGCAUCAACCAGCGACUGGUCGGUGUAGAGCAGCAGGAAGCCGCCGGCACAUCCUUGCGGUGGCCGGCUGUGGUGAUGGCCUUCUGAUCCCUUUAUGCACCCUUUUAGGAUCGGUAGUUAGGAGUUUGUUGGGGGUUAACCCAUGUAUGCGUGUGUCAUUGCCCAAGGGGCACCACCUCCUCUUUUUAUACUUGAUGCUAAGAGACAGGGACCAAAACCAAAAGUUGUCUUUCUGUGUGCC